rnacentral:rRNA from 1 species
CCUACGGGUGGCAGCAGUGAGGAAUAUUGGUCAAUGGACGGAAGUCUGAACCAGCCAUGUCGCGUGCAGGAUGACGGCCCUAUGAGUUGUAAACUGCUUUUGUACGAGGGUAAACCUCCAUACGUGUAUUCCUCUGAAAGUACCGUACGAAUAAGGAUCGGCUAAAUCCGUGCCAGCAGCCGCGGUAAUACGGAGGAUUCAAGCGUUAUCCGGAUUUAUUGGGUUUAAAGGGUGCGUAGGCGGAAUGAUAAGUUAGAGGUGAAAUGUCCGGGCUUAACUCGGGAAGUGCCGCGAAUACUGUUGUUCUAGAGAGUAGAUGCGGUAGGCGGAAUGUAUGGUGUAGCGGUGAAAUGCUUAGAGAUCAUACAGAACACCGAUUGCGAAGGCAGCUUACCAA